AAAAAGUUCGGAGUGUCUACGGAGCAGGCUAUGUGGAAUGGAAUUGUUGAUAGAGGAUAAGAAAUUGUUUAAAGGUUGUAAAAAGAUGCCCACUUGGGAAUUCUGUUCAUAUUUAUUCUCUCAGGCACUGUGGAGAGACAGAACAUGGAGACACUGAUGCUUGGGAUGCCAAUUAGCAGGCUAUGGUAGCAAUUGCAAUUACCUACAUGGAGGAAGUGGUGGUGUAUUUGAGACACAUACAACUGGAUAUGUCACUGUGGAGGUAGGAGGGAGUUCGUCUCACUGAAACUGUUAAAGGAAGAUAAGAUGGUGUUUAAGACCCAAUGGAGCCGAGGAAGUAACGAGAGAGAUCUCAAUGCCAGAACCUCCACCUCAGAGACCUCCAGGCCAAAUACCCGAGCACAGAAGGAAAGAAUGGCUAGAACCCAGUUUGGCAAUUGCUGAAAACUGUGAAGAAUGAGAUAGGUGACUAGGAUCCAGGGAAAUAAUUCAGUUUUCAAAAAAAAGGUUUGUACUAAAGAUGAAAUGAAAAUACCUAUAAGAGAAUUUAAAAAAUGAGAGUCUUAAAAAGUUCAAGUUGAGUCUCAGGGACCCCUUUAGUAUUCACUGCCUUAAAUUGGAGUGGGUUCCUCAACAGCCAACAGGUGGCCAAAAGAUAAAAGCAAGCAAGAAAGCAAAGAAAUAACAGUAAUAACAAAAUUUAAGAACCCCUUGCAUGGAAGAGAUGCUUAUUUCCUCUGGACCGAAAGUUGGAUGUAAAGGAUUUCAGUAUUUUUGGAACACAUGAUGAUGGGAUUCCAAAUUCCUGUAUUAUCAGUUGGAUAUCUGGCCUAAAGAACUGUUCAAAUUGCUCCAAUCUGAAAUGUGAGUCAGAUAUAAACCAUUACUGAGAUAAACUGCUGAAAUUUCAAUAUUUUCAAUAUGUAGUAGCUGCCAUAGUAUAGACUGUGCUAUCAUGAUCUUUGCGGUAAUUGCUACCUUGACUUGUGACACUACUAUAGGACAAUAAAAAGAGUGAAAUAUGUAGCACUUGCUACAGAUAAUAUAUAGGAUAAAAUAUAUAGCUGAGUUACUUGGAGGCAGCAACAAAGAGAUAUAGCAGGAAAGAUAGAUGAAUAUCCAGGUUAUAUGGCGGCAAAACAUUGAAUAGAUUUCA